GUGGAUUAGAUACCCUGGUAGUCCACGCCCUAAACGAUGUCGACUGGUUGUUGGGUGGGUAACCACUUAGUAACGAAGCUAACGCGUGAAGUCGACCGCCUGGGGAGUACGGUCGCAAGAUUAAAACUCAAAGGAAUUGACGGGGACCCGCACAAGCGGUGGAUGAUGUGGUUUAAUUCGAUGCAACGCGAAAAACCUUACCUACACUUGACAUGUCAGAGAUCCUUCAGAGAUGAGGGAGUGCCGCAAGGAAUCUGAACACAGGUGCUGCACGGCCGUCGCCAACU
rnacentral:rRNA from 1 species